rnacentral:lncRNA from 1 species
UUUCAUGACAUUUAAUGCCAGAUGAGCUGUUUAGUGGAAAUUUUGAGAAAUCAUGAUUCUUCAUUUAUAUUUGUUGCCAAUAUGUUUUUUUUUGGUUAUUUGAGGAAAGAAAAGUUAAGGUAGCAUAAUGAUAUCUUUUCCACCAAUGACUGGAUAAUUUGACACUUUUGUGAAUCAUCAGACCAUCACUACCAACAAGAUUAGUGAUUAACAGCAUAAUGUGAUAUAUUGAAAAUGUAUUUGGACGGACAGAUGAACAGACAUAACUAAUCUUUAAAGCUCCUGAAAUAAAAGAAAUGUUGAACAUCAGCCAAGCUCAUAUGACCU